rnacentral:rRNA from 1 species
UGCAGUCGUACGCUUCUUUUUCCACCGGAGCUUGCUCCACCGGAAAAAGAAGAGUGGCGAACGGGUGAGUAACACGUGGGUAACCUGCCCAUCAGAAGGGGAUAACACUUGGAAACAGGUGCUAAUACCGUAUAACAAUCGAAACCGCAUGGUUUUGAUUUGAAAGGCGCUUUCGGGUGUCGCUGAUGGAUGGACCCGCGGUGCAUUAGCUAGUUGGUGAGGUAACGGCUCACCAAGGCCACGAUGCAUAGCCGACCUGAGAGGGUGAUCGGCCACAUUGGGACUGAGACACGGCCCAAACUCCUACGGGAGGCAGCAGUAGGGAAUCUUCGGCAAUGGACGAAAGUCUGACCGAGCAACGCCGCGUGAGUGAAGAAGGUUUUCGGAUCGUAAAACUCUGUUGUUAGAGAAGAACAAGGAUGAGAGUAACUGUUCAUCCCUUGACGGUAUCUAACCAGAAAGCCACGGCUAACUACGUGCCAGCAGCCGCGGUAAUACGUAGGUGGCAAGCGUUGUCCGGAUUUAUUGGGCGUAAAGCGAGCGCAGGCGGUUUCUUAAGUCUGAUGUGAAAGCCCCCGGCUCAACCGGGGAGGGUCAUUGGAAACUGGGAGACUUGAGUGCAGAAGAGGAGAGUGGAAUUCCAUGUGUAGCGGUGAAAUGCGUAGAUAUAUGGAGGAACACCAGUGGCGAAGGCGGCUCUCUGGUCUGUAACUGACGCUGAGGCUCGAAAGCGUGGGGAGCAAACAGGAUUAGAUACCCUGGUAGUCCACGCCGUAAACGAUGAGUGCUAAGUGUUGGAGGGUUUCCGCCCUUCAGUGCUGCAGCUAACGCAUUAAGCACUCCGCCUGGGGGAGUACGACCGCAAGGUUGAAACUCAAAGGAA